rnacentral:lncRNA from 1 species
GCCUGUAGCCGUUAUGCUGAUUUGGUUCGCUAGAGAAUGAGAAUCUCUAUUGUUUCAUCUCCUCUGGUCUCUCUCGAUCUGCAGUAUUAUUCAGGUAAUCCCUUCGGUUAAUUUGCAUAAAGGUAUCUGAUUCCAUACUUGUAAAGAUUUUGCAGAAACUGCCCACAUCACAUCACACGUAAUGCAACAAUCAAAAGGAAGACUCGUCUUUGCUCUGGGUUUUCUUGAUUAAGCUCUACGCAUAUUUUACUUUAAAAAACUUGUCGAUUCGUG